rfam:Triticum aestivum genome assembly, contig: Triticum_aestivum_CS42_TGACv1_scaffold_019573_1AS
UUUGUAUUCCCUCCGUUCCGAAUUAUUUGUCUUAGACUUGUCUAGAUAUAGAGAUAUCUUGCACUAAAAUGAGUCUAGAUACAUUCGUAUCUAGACAAAACCAAGACAAGUAAUUCGGAACGGAGGGAGUAGGUU